rnacentral:rRNA from 1 species
GGGGGACAACAGUUGGAAACGACUGCUAAUACCGCAUAACGUGCCGGAAGGGCAUCCUUUUGGUACCAAAGAUUUAUCGCUGAAAGAUGGGCUCGCGUCUGAUUAGAUAGUUGGUGAGGUAACGGCCCACCAAGUCGACGAUCAGUAGCCGGACUGAGAGGUUGAUCGGCCACAUUGGAACUGAGACACGGCCCAGACUCCUACGGGAGGCAGCAGUGGGGAAUAUUGGACAAUGGGGGAAACCCUUAUCCAGCGACGCCGCGUGAGGGAAGAGGGUUUUCGGAUUGUAAACCUCUGUCAGUGGGGACGAUAAUGACGGUACCCACGGAGGAAGCCACGGCUAACUACGUGCCAGCAGCCGCGGUAAUACGUAGGUGGCAAGCGUUGUCCGGAAUUACUGGGUGUAAAGGGAGCGUAGGCGGGAUGUCAAGUCAGAAGUGAAAAUUAUGGGCUCAACUCAUAACCUGCUUUUGAAACUGAUAUUCUUGAGUGAAGUAGAGGCAAGCGGAAUUCCUAGUGUAGCGGUGAAAUGCGUAGAUAUUAGGAGGAACACCAGUGGCGAAGGCGGCUUGCUGGGCUUUUACUGACGCUGAGGCUCGAAAGCGUGGGGAGCAAACAGGAUUAGAUACCCUGGUAGUCCACGCUGUAAACGAUGAUUACUAGGUGUGGGGGGGAUUGAACCCUUCCGUGCCGGAGUUAACA